AGGGAUAUCCCAAGCGUCUAAUC
rnacentral:misc_RNA from 1 species